UGAAUUUUUCCACCUUAUCAUUUUGUCCAGAUAAGAGUAUAUGAAGGAGCAAGUAAAAUACUAAAAGGGUGGCAAAGACCCCAGGAAAAUGGGCUUUAACCAAAUCAGAAGAGAACCCAAAUCAUGGGGG